GUCGAAACUGAUUUUGUUGUCGAUUCAAAAACCACCUUAAAAUGCCGAAAAUUGGUUGUUGUGGUGAUGUCUAGAUUGAGAUAGAUUUUAAAGUGAGUGUUGUUUUGUCUUGAUCAAAGGUUAUGUUUGGUUUGUUUUCUUUUAAAUUUUUAGCUUCAAUUGGUGUUGGUGAGAUUUGUACAUUGAUGGUGUCGAAGAAGAACGAGCAAUCGAUUGUUGGAGCUGCCACGAUCGAGGUUUUACUCCUGCUACUAGCCUACUAUAGGUUAUAGGUUUUGGGUUUUUCCUCUGCCAUUUAUUUCACUGUAAGCAUUUUCUUUAUAAAAAAAACUUUCUUUCCACAUCUAGG
rnacentral:lncRNA from 1 species